UUAACGAGGAUCCAUUGGAGGGCAAGUCUGGUGCCAGCAGCCGCGGUAAUUCCAGCUCCAAUAGCAUAUAUUUAUGUUGUUGUAGUUAAAAAGCUCGUAGUUGGACUUAGGUUGGGUCGGUCGGUCCGCCUCACGGUGAGCACUGGUCUGCUCGUCCCUACUGCCGGUGAUGCGCUCCUGGCCUUAAUUGGCCGGGUCGUUCCUCCGGCAUUGUUACUUUGAAGAAAUUAUAAUGCUCAAAGCAGGCCUACGCUUGUAUACAUUAGCAUGGGAUAACAUCAUAGGAUUUCGAUCCUAUUGUGUUG
rnacentral:ncRNA from 1 species